rnacentral:lncRNA from 1 species
CCUGCGAUUUCCUCACAGGGAGGCCGGGCCCUGAAACCCGCCCGGCGACGUGGGUGGGCCUCUGUGAAGACAGUGUCUCUUCCCAUUCAGGAACUGCCCUGGGCCGGCCCCAGGCAAAGGGAUGUUUGUUGUUUAAGUAAAUAAACUGGUCAGAGGCUCCGCUGGCUGUGCAGGCUCCGAUGCCUCCCACAAGCCUGGUCCCAACCGGGAAGGGGCCACCAACAGAAAGAAGCCACCCGAUGCCACCCACCACGACACGCCCUUCUCCCUGGCACCGCCAGGGGUGCCGGGGGGCCAGAGAGAUUCCUCUCUGCCCGGCCCAGUGAAGCCCGUCCAUCCCCGUGAAGAGCCCUGGGUUUGCACCUCAGUUUUGCCAUCUUCUUGCCUUUCCAGAGGAAGAGCCAAACAUCCAGAUUGCCUCAGUCAACCUGGUUCCCAGUGAAUGCUGGAAGCCGCCUGGACAGGGGUUCUUUCAAUGCUGUCCAUCUCGUGCUGGGUCUGACGUCUGACAUCUGCUGACCGCCUCCUAUGUGUCACACACUGUGCUGGGCAUGGGGGCUCCCAGGGACAACACAAAGAAUCAGUGUCUACGUUCACGGCGCUUCCAUUUUAAAUUAAGGGACACACAUAGUAAAAUAAUUUCAAUAAAAUAAAAUGUUACAAGUAUUAGAAAAGUG